rnacentral:rRNA from 1 species
GACGAACGCUGGCGGCGUGCUUAACACAUGCAAGUCGAACGGAAAGGCCCUGCUUUUGUGGGGUGCUCGAGUGGCGAACGGGUGAGUAACACGUGAGUAACCUGCCCUUGACUUUGGGAUAACUUCAGGAAACUGGGGCUAAUACCGGAUAGGAGCUCCUGCUGCAUGGUGGGGGUUGGAAAGUUUCGGCGGUUGGGGAUGGACUCGCGGCUUAUCAGCUUGUUGGUGGGGUAGUGGCUUACCAAGGCUUUGACGGGUAGCCGGCCUGAGAGGGUGACCGGCCACAUUGGGACUGAGAGACGGCCCAGACUCCUACGGGGGGCAGCGGGGGGGAAUAUUGCAAAAGGGGCGGAAGCCGGAUGCAGCAACGCCGCGGGGGGGGUGAGGGCCUUGGGGUUGUAAACCGUUUUCGCCUGGAACGAAGCGGGGGUGACGGUAAUGGGUAAAAAAGCACCGGCAAAUUACGU